UACGGAGGGUGCAAGCGUUAUCCGGAUUUACUGGGUUUAAAGGGUGCGCAGGCGGAUAUGUAAGUCAGUGGUGAAAUCUCCAGGCUUAACCUGGAAAUUGCCAUUGAUACUAUAUAUCUUGAAUGCUGUGGAGGUAAGCGGAAUAUGUCAUGUAGCGGUGAAAUGCUUAUAGAUGACAUAGAACACCUAUUGCGAAGGCAGCUUACUACGCAGAUAUUGACGCUCAUGCACGAAAGCGUGGGGAUCAAACAGG
rnacentral:rRNA from 1 species